CAAGAUAACGAAUAGGGGCUUGGAGCAUGUAAUCGUCAAAUGCUCUAUGCUCUGGUCUAAAGAGCCUAAAUUUUUAUGCACUAAGAGACGACUUCCCGGUUGUAGUUGGUGGUUGAGCUAGGUUCCGGCAUUCAAGGCAACGGUGUAUUCUCAGAUGGCUUUGAAACUCCAAAUGGUAUAGCAAACGCAUCUUCCAUCGAACGCCAGAAGCCAGUUUGGAGUAAUACUAUCUGAGUAACAUGAGUAGUGACACCUGUAUUUGUUUUUAUGGUUUUCGUUUUCAAUACAAGUUGGAUUCGAUACUUUUCCCUUAGCGAUAUUACCGGUACCACCAUAGCGAGGGCUUUUACACGUGCUUGCAUCACUACCUUCAAGGAAUAUAAUUUUGUAAUUUGAUAGCCGAACGACAAUAUAUAUUUUAUUUACUUCUUCAAA